rnacentral:rRNA from 1 species
UACGUAGGUGACAAGCGUUGUCCGGAUUUACUGGGCGUAAAGAGCGCGCAGGCGGUCGAUCAAGUCGAGUGUGAAAGCCCCCGGCUCAACUGGGGAGGGUCAUUCGAUACUGAUCGACUCGAAGGCAGGAGAGGGUAGUGGAAUUCCCGGUGUAGUGGUGAAAUGCGUAGAUAUCGGGGAGGAACACCAGUGGCGAAGGCGGGUCUCUGGGCAGUAACUGACGCUGAGGUGCGAAAGCGUGGGGGAGCAAACAGGG